CGAACCAGUUGUCAGUGGCAACAUAUAGGAAUCGUGUACAUUUCUUCGUUUCUUCUUUGCUGUUUUCAGUGAGUGUUUUGUUUUCUCUUUGUCCUUGAUCUCGACGAUGUUGUCGUGCUCAUUACCUUACUGAGACGUCUCUUGUGACUGUAGCCAGUGUCAUGGAGGAUUUUAUUGGCGUGACAAGGUAGAUCGCCGAGAUCGAGCGUGAAAAACGCUCUGCAUUAGUAGCUCCUGUAGAAUGUUUUCUGGGUUGGCGUAUCCAUGGUCAACAAAACCAAGGUGCAAGACAGCAUGAGAGAUCGUGUAAACGAUGUGAACUCCAAAAGAUAAUCUGGCCAAAUUUAUUGUAACUAGAGAGUGCAAUCGUGCACUGCUUGGGGCCCAUCCCAAUGUCAUCACAUGGCUGUGGUGACUAGUGUAUAUCUGGGAGAAUUUUUCCUCGACUGAUAUGGAGUGCAGGUGGAUCGAUUAUGAGAAAUGCGAACAUGUGAAGUUCAAGGCUAGAUGCACUUCACAUUCGGCGUGCGAUCUCAGCGUCUGGGACCUGAUGAAGUCUUGGUUGGAUGAUUAUUCAAGCCUGAUACUACUCGACACACCAAUGUUCAUGUCAAUGUAAUUUUUUCAGAGCUGCACUAUUUACGUGUUGAUGCUUACUUCGGUGUUAGCGUGUUUCCCCCGGAUUGUUUCUACCAUCAUGAUCGUGUGUUCUUGGGCUGAGCGAGCACAUGCACAAGUGUGCAGCUAUAACCCUGUGUAUCUUUGGUUACACUUUGUUCUGCAAUGCAUGUACCUUGUAACAUUAUGUGCUUGCACUGCUUUGUCUGGCCUGCGUAUUUCAGGACUAUUCAGUGCAUAAGACCCAGGUUUGUUUGGUUGCCGGAUGACCUCUUGUUGCGUCGCUCUGUAUUUGUAUUCAUCAAUUUUUGGGCUUGAGAAUUGAGCUGUUGUGUGGUUCCCAAUAUGAAAACAUCAUGCUGGUGCUCUGUGUUUCGAUUAUCGACUGUCGGAGCAGUCAUGCAUUUAUUAGCAGAACGGUCAAUACUGUAGUCUUUUCA